rnacentral:rRNA from 1 species
CAUCUUGGACAAUAGGGGAAACCCUGAUCCAGCCACCCCGCGUGUAUGAUGAAGGCCUUCGGGUUGUAAAGUACUUUUUGCAGAGAAGAAAAGGUAUCUCCUAAUACGAGAUACUGCUGACGGUAUCUGCAGAAUAAGCACCGGCUAACUACGUGCCCGCAGCCGCGGUAAUUCGUAGGGUGCAAGCGUUAAUCGGAAUUACUGGGCGUAACGCGUGUGUAGGCGGUUCGGAAAGAAAGAUGAGAAAUCCCAGGGCUCGAACUUGGAACUGCAAUUUUAACUGCCGAGCUAGAGUAUGUCAGAGGGGGGUAGAAUUCCACGUGUAGCAGUGGAAUGCGUAGAUAUGUGGAGGAAUACCGAUGGCGAAGGCAGCCCCCUGGGAUAAUACUGACGCUCAGACACGAAAGCGUGGGGAGCAAACA